rnacentral:rRNA from 1 species
AUGGACAAAAGUAAUACAUCUGGCUAUGCUGAGGACAUUACCGAGACUCAGAAAUAUGCAAACCCUGAGAGAGCCAACAGGGGAAGUUUUCCUUUUCCACAUACAACCCUAUUGGGGGAAAGGAAAACUUUCAAAAGGGCGGCAAACAGGGGAAGGAAAUACUCCUGGGCAACGUCAAGUAGAACAUAUCAUUUGAGAUCAUCUGACAGUGCCAGGGUUCUUCGUUCUAGAUCAGUUGCAGAUAAGUCGCCUAGUGACGCUAUGCAAACUCAAAGAGAAAGAGCCGUGAAGAAGCCAACUGGCGACCCUGUGGACACUCCCCUAAAGCCAACUGCUAAAAGAAUAAGAAGGAAAAAAACAACAGAGAGUGGACCAGACGAUGAGUUAUUGAAAAUUCCGAAGGGGAUUAGAUACUUUUUGAAUCGGAUAAACUUUCAGCAAAGUUUUCUUCAAGUGUAUGAGAGUGAAGGCUGGAAAAAUCAAAGUUUGGAAAAGAUAAGGCCGGAGAAGGAGCUUGAACGAGCCAAGGCAGAGAUCAUGCGGUGCAAAUUAAGAAUACGAGAAGCUUUCCAGAAGCUUGAUAAUCUUCUAACUGUGGGGAAGCUUGAAAACACUUUGAUUGAUUCUGAAAGAAUGAUAUCUUGUGACCAUAUUGUUUGUGCCGCUUGUAGAUUGCAAGGCCCUACAUCAAAUAAUGGCAUCGUUCUCUGUGACGGCUGCGACAGAGGGUUCCACCAAAAUUGUUUAAACCCUCCUUUACUCACCGAAGAUAUCCCUGAGGCAGGAGAACGAUGGCUUUGCCCUGCAUGUGAUUGCAAGAUAAAGUGUAUAGAAUUAAUAAAUGAACACCAAGGGACAAAUCUUUCCAUUAAUGAUUCUUGGGAGAAAGUUUUUCCUGGGACAGCUGCGGUGGUAGACGGGCCUCUGCAAAAUGAUUUACCUGAUCUUCCUUCGGACGAUUCAGAAGACCAUGACUUUGACCCCAAUAUAUCCGAAGAACAUGUGGCUGGUCACAUGGAAGGAUCAUCAAAAGAGGAUGGGGAUGAAGGUUCAGACUCUGAUGACUCAAAUUUCAUCAUGUCUUCUGACAAUUCAGAACAUGUGAAGGAGAAAGAGAAAGUUGAUGACCUUGGAUUACCUUCAGAGGACUCGGAGGAUGGAGACUAUGAUCCAGAAGAGAAGCAAGCUGAGUCAGACAUCACAUUGAAAUUUCUACAAGUCUCCUCCGCGGUGAACCGGGCCUCAUUUGAGGGCGUGGGCGUGCCUCCAACGGCGACCAAGGAAACACCAAUGCUGGGAACAAUUCUAUCAUGGGAUAUAGCCAUGAAGGCUCACUUGGCUCGGAGGAAGCUCGAGUGGGCGGUCACGUGCUUCUCAAUGAGGAGCGCACUUGGGUCAGACUCAGCGAUGAGUGCGAGCGAGUUGAGGUCCCCUGUUACCUCGACACUAGGGGCUCAAACCACACGACGGGUUAUCGCGAGAUGUUUGCCGGAGUGCAUAUGUGAAAUCCUCUGGUUAGGAGGAUCUACAGCUGACAUGUUCCUUCGUAGCUUGCUUUAG